GCUCCCAUAGUCUAGCCCGGUCAGGAUUUUUUACUAAGAAAAUUCACCGAAAGGACACAAGCCUCUCGCGCUUGAGACGCGGGUUCGAAUCCCGCUGGGAGCA
rnacentral:tRNA from 2 species